AUGUCUACUUGGAGGUUGUGCCCUUGAGGCGUGGCUUCCGGAGCUAACGCGUUAAGUAGACCGCCUGGGGAGUACGGCCGCAAGGUUAAAACUCAAAUGAAUUGACGGGGGCCCGCACAAGCGGUGGAGCAUGUGGUUUAAUUCGAUGCAACGCGAAGAACCUUACCUGGUCUUGACAUCCACAGAAGAAUCCAGAGAUGGAUUUGUGCCUUCGGGAACUGUGAGACAGGUGCUGCAUGGCUGUCGUCAGCUCGUGUUGUGAAAUGUUGGGUUAAGUCCCGCAACGAGCGCAACCCUUAUCCUUUGUUGCCAGCGGUCCGGCCGGGAACUCAAAGGAGACUGCCAGUGAUAAACUGGAGGAAGGUGGGGAUGACGUCAAGUCAUCAUGGCCCUUACGACCAGGGCUACACACGUGCUACAAUGGCGCAUACAAAGAGAAGCGACCUCGCGAGAGCAAGCGGACCUCAUAAAGUGCGUCGUAGUCCGGAUUGGAGUCUGCAACUCGACUCCAUGAAGUCGGAAUCGCUAGUAAUCGUGGAUCAGAAUGCCACGGUGAAUACGUUCCCGGGCCUUGUACACACCGCCCGUCACACCAUGGGAGUGGGUUGCAAAAGAAGUAGGUAGCUUAACCUUCGGGAGGGCGCUUACCACUUUGUGAUUCAUGACUGGGGUGAAGUCGUAACAAGGUAACCGUAGGGGAACCUGCGGUUGGAUCACCUCCUUACCUUAAAGAA
rnacentral:rRNA from 1 species